rnacentral:rRNA from 1 species
AUUGAACGCUGGCGGCAUGCUUUACACAUGCAAGUCGAACGGUAACAGCACUUCGGUGGCUGACGAGUGGCGAACGGGUGAGUAAUACAUCGGAACGUGCCUAGUAGUGGGGGAUAACUACUCGAAAGAGUAGCUAAUACCGCAUGAGAUCUAAGGAUGAAAGCAGGGGACCUUCGGGCCUUGCGCUACUAGAGCGGCUGAUGGCAGAUUAGGUAGUUGGUGGGAUAAAAGCUUACCAAGCCGACGAUCUGUAGCUGGUCUGAGAGGACGACCGGCCACACUGGGACUGAGACACGGCCCAGACUCCGACGGGAGGCAGCAGUGGGGAAUUUUGGGCAAUGGGCGCAAGCCUGAUCCAGCAAUGCCGCGUGCAGGAUGAAGGCCUUCGGGUUGUAAACUGCUUUUGUACGGAACGAAAAGCCCUCUUCUAAUACAGGAGGGUCAUGAAGGUACCGUAAGAAUAAGCACCGGCUAACUACGUG